UACGUAGGGUGCAAGCGUUGUCCGGAAUUAUUGGGCGUAAAGAGCUCGUAGGCGGUCUGUCGCGUCGGCUGUGAAAACCCGAGGCUCAACCUCGGGCCUGCAGUCGAUACGGGCAGACUAGAGUGUGGUAGGGGAGACUGGAAUUCCUGGUGUAGCGGUGAAAUGCGCAGAUAUCAGGAGGAACACCGGUGGCGAAGGCGGGUCUCUGGGCCGAUAUUGACGCUGGAGGAGCGGAAAGCGUGGGGAGCGAACAGGAUUAG
rnacentral:rRNA from 1 species